rnacentral:siRNA from 1 species
ACACAUUUCGGGACACAAGCCCCU